rnacentral:rRNA from 1 species
UGGAAGUAAAGUUAAUCGAACAAGGUUUCCGUAGGUGAACCUGCGGAAGGAUCAUUACAGAAUGAAAAGUGCUUAACUGCAUUUUUUCUUACACAUGUGUUUUUCUUUUUUUGAAAACUUUGCUUUGGUAGGCCUUCUAUAUGGGGCCUGCCAGAGAUUAAACUCAACCAAAUUUUAUUUAAUGUCAACCGAUUAUUUAAUAGUCAAAACUUUCAACAACGGAUCUCUUGGUUCUCGCAUCGAUGAAGAACGCAGCGAAAUGCGAUAAGUAAUAUGAAUUGCAGAUAUUCGUGAAUCAUCGAAUCUUUGAACGCACAUUGCGCCCUUUGGUAUUCCAAAGGGCAUGCCUGUUUGAGCGUCAUUUCUCCCUCAAACCCUCGGGUUUGGUGUUGAGCGAUACGCUGGGUUUGCUUGAAAGAAAGGCGGAGUAUAAACUAAUGGAUAGGUUUUUUCCACUCAUUGGUACAAACUCCAAAACUUCUUCCAAAUUCGACCUCAAAUCAGGUAGGACUACCCGCUGAACUUAAGCAUAUCUA